rnacentral:rRNA from 1 species
CCUAUAAGACUGGGAUAACUUCGGGAAACCGGAGCUAAUACCGGAUAAUAUUUCGAACCGCAUGGUUCGAUAGUGAAAGAUGGCUUUGCUAUCACUUAUAGAUGGACCUGCGCCGUAUUAGCUAGUUGGUAAGGUAACGGCUUACCAAGGCAACGAUACGUAGCCGACCUGAGAGGGUGAUCGGCCACACUGGAACUGAGACACGGUCCAGACUCCUACGGGAGGCAGCAGUAGGGAAUCUUCCGCAAUGGGCGAAAGCCUGACGGAGCAACGCCGCGUGAGUGAUGAAGGUCUUCGGAUCGUAAAACUCUGUUAUUAGGGAAGAACAAACGUGUAAGUAACUGUGCACGUCUUGACGGUACCUAAUCAGAAAGCCACGGCUAACUACGUGCCAGCAGCCGCGGUAAUACGUAGGUGGCAAGCGUUAUCCGGAAUUAUUGGGCGUAAAGCGCGCGUAGGCGGUUUUUUAAGUCUGAUGUGAAAGCCCACGGCUCAACCGUGGAGGGUCAUUGGAAACUGGAAAACUUGAGUGCAGAAGAGGAAAGUGGAAUUCCAUGUGUAGCGGUGAAAUGCGCAGAGAUAUGGAGGAACACCAGUGGCGAAGGCGACUUUCUGGUCUGUAACUGACGCUGAUGUGCGAAAGCGUGGGGAUCAAACAGGAUUAGAUACCCUGGUAGUCCACGCCGUAAACGAUGAGUGCUAAGUGUUAGGGGGUUUCCGCCCCUUAGUGCUGCAGCUAACGCAUUAAGCACUCCGCCUGGGGAGUACGACCGCAAGGUUGAAACUCAAA